rnacentral:lncRNA from 1 species
GAACACUCCACCACAAGCCGGUAGGAUUUGUUCUUCGAUUCUUCAAUUAAACAGUAAAUUAAAUCAAGGAAAUAAAAAAAACUCGAAUAUAACGUAAGGUUAAAUCCGGUAUAAAGUUGCCCAGUAGUUUCCGGUGUAGAAACUACUACGCGAAAAAUAUCUAAAAGCUAAGAACGGGGGAAAAUAAAUUGCAAGGGAAAAAGAAAACAAAGCU